rnacentral:tRNA from 1 species
GAGUGUAUAGCUCAGUGGUAGAGCACUUGCCUAGCAUGCAUGAGGUCCUGGGUUCAAUCCCCAUUACCUCCA